UGGCGGAGAACAGGGCCUGCGUGUGGUCGAGCGUGCGUGGGCGCACGCGGGCGUGUGUGUCUGGGCGCCCUGAGCCGAAGGGUCUGUGGCUGGGGCGCGUCCGGGAGUGCGCGCGCGAGUCUGUGCGCCCCAGGAUAGGCGGGUUUCCAAGUGGGGUGGGAUCCGCGCCCCAUUUAUGGCCAUUUAUGGCCGGGAAGAGGGUUCGUGUGCGGAUGUGCGCGUGUGUGUUUGUGCCGCAUCCCUUUUCCCAGAGGCGUUUCCUGAGCGCCUCCUGCGAAACACUGGCCCCUCGAGGCUGGCCUGGCUGCAGGCCCUGUCCUGAGAGUAGGAGUCAGACUCACAGACCAGGUGGUUAGCAGAUGAACCUGUGGCAGUGAGGGCCCAGCCCCGAGAGCAGCGGCCACCGAGAGGUGAAGUUUGGGUGGAGACCUGGAGGUCAGCCUAGUAGAACAGAGGGAAAAGUUUUCUGAGAAGAGGAAACUACAUGUGCAAAGGCCCGGAGGUUGAUGGAGGGCCGGAGGUUGAUGGAGGGCCAGAGCUUGGCGAGUGAGGAACUUCCCAACUCCUAAUCAACUUAUGGCUCCAUACCCAUUGGCUUUGCCUUCUCUGACAUCAGCCCUGCUGUGACUGGCCCAUCAACAGAACGUAUCUUCCAGGCCCCGAUUUUCUUUAUUUGAGAGGGAGAAGCAGACUUGCUGCUGAGCGGAGAGUCGGAUGUGGGGCGGGAUCCCAGAACCCCGAGAUCACCACCUGAGCCACCCAGGCUACCCCUGAAGGAUUUUCUUCUUUAUCUUCCUGUGCACACCCUGAGGACUGAACCUGUGUAGUGUGCUCACUUUGGCCACCUCAGAACUCACAAUGGAAGAUAAAGACUGAGGCCUCAUGGCCUGCCCUUGAAAGAAUAGUUCAUAGGCAAGUCCCCAACUGAGCCCUGCCACAUCGCAGAUGGGACGAGCCACACAGAGCGAACAGUUACAUCAGCUCUCAGACCUGGCCACCUCCACGGGAGCACUUGGCACCAAGAGCCUCAAGUUCUUGGAAACGGGAAUUAGCCAAGAAAACAGGUUCAUGAAAUAAUAAUGUAUGUUCUCUGUAGAAAUGUCCAUCACUGGAUGAACUGUGAGUACCUUAACUGCAUGGUCUUCCCUGUUGCCUGACUAACCCCUGCCUGCAUCACUCUGUUUUUAUUGCUGCCUGAUACCUAUAUUUACCUGCUUACUUAUUUUCCCUCUACCGGUAGUUAAGUUUUUGCCCCUGCCGCAUCCCCAACACCUAGGACAGUGCCCAGCAUUGGUAAGUGUUCAGUAAUAUUUGCCAAAUAAACAAAUGAAUGAACAAUUAGAGUCUUGGGGCACUUGGCUGGCUCAGUCAGUAGAGCACGAGACUCUGGAUCUCAGGGUCUUGAGUUUGAGCCCCAUGUUGGGUGUAGUGUUUACUUAAGAAAACAAAACAAAAUCAAAUUAGAGUCUUUCUGUUGCAUGCUUACUAUGUACUGGGCACAUUUAUUUAAUCCUCAUGACAACCCUAUGAGGGAGGUGAUACUGUAUUUUACAGUUGAAGAAUCUGAGGUUUGGAGAGAUGAAGUGAUUUGAUGCAGGUUAUGAGGUAGUGAGUGUCCCCAGGAACUUAGUUUCCUUCACUCAAGACAAUGGAACAAUCAAAGGAUGAGAAAUCCUACUGGGCAGUGGUCCUCGUGCCCUCCAUCAGUAUCUCACACUGGGAGGUGGGUUGGAGCCCAGUCGUGCUCAGCUUCACAGCCUGGGAUGCAGGCAAGGAGCCCAAGGGCCAGCAGAGUGCCCAGACUCCAUCCCUGGCUGAGAUCUGGUUUCAGGUGGAAAGAUGAGAAAGCUGCACACAGCUCCUCACAUGAGUCCAGGAUGAACACAGUAUCCAGGAACAGGUUGAUUGCUCCUUUCUGAUGUUUCUCAGUACAGACUCAGCCAUUGAAAUUUUUAGAACAUACUGUUUUUUUCAGGUGGAUCCAAAGUUUAAUUAAAUGUUUCAGAAAAAAAAAAUGAGCUAUAAAAAUACUGAAGAAACAAAGGGAAAAUUUUGUAGAAUCUUGGAAUGAAGGAGGCCUUCUGAGUAUGUCACCAAACUCAGCAACCAUAAAAGAAAAAAAAAUCGAUAAAUUCAUUUACAUUAAAAAUUGAAAGCCUGUGUGGAAAAAGCCACCAUCAAAGCCAAAACACAAACAACAAACUGUAAUUGGCUACAAACAACAUACUUGUAACUCACUUCAAAAUAAAGAGCUCUAGGGCACCUGAGUGGCUCAGUCAGUUAGGUGUCCAACUCUUGAUUUUGGCUCAGGUCACGGUCUCGGGGUCAGGGGUCAAGUCCCGAGGUGGGCUCCCUGCUCAGUGGGGAGUCUGCUGGAGAUUCUCUCUCUCCCUCUCUCUUUCUCUCUCUCUCAAUAAAUAAAUAAAUCUUAAUAAAUAAAUAAAGAGCUCUCAAAUCAAUAAGAAAAAGCCCAAUGGCUCACUAAGAAACUGGGCAGAUACAGACUAUCCACAGAAAAAGAAAUACAAAUAGGUCUCUCAGAACUAUAGAAAAUUGAUUAUCCUUUCUUACUAAGUUAAAUGGAAAUCAAACUAGACUUGCAUAUCUUUAUAGGGAAGAUUAAAAACUUUAAUGAAAAACUAUGAUGGGAAAAUAGGCUGAUGGGAGAGUAAAUCAGUGCAACCUUCAUGUAGGACAAUAUCUACAAAUUGUAAAUGUGUAUGCUCCCCUCCUUUUAUGAAUUAAGGUGAAAUUCACAUUACAUAAAAUUAACCGGGGCGCCUGUGCGGCCCAGUCAGUUGAGCAUCUGCUCAGGUCAUGAUCCCAGGAUCCUGGGAUGGAGCCCCAUGUCCAGCUCCCUGCUCAAUGGGGAGCCUGCUUCUCCCUCUCCCUUUCCCUCUCCCCCUGCUUGUGCGCUCUCUGUCAAAUAAAUAAAUAAAAUCUUAAAAAAAAAAUUAACCAUCUUAAGGUGAUCAAGUGAGUGUAUUCACUAUGUUGUGCAACCACCAUCUCUAGUUCUAAAACAUUUUCAUCACUCCGAAAGAAAACUGUACUCGUUAAGCAGUUAUUCCCCAUUCGUCCCUCCUCCAGCCCCUGGCCACCUGCAGUCUGCUUUCCGUUUCCAUGGAUUGACCUAUUCUGGAUAUUUCAUAUGAAUGGAAGCAUAAAACGUGUGACCUUUUAUAUCUGACUUUUUUCACUUAGCAAAAUGCUUUGGAGGCUCAUCCACAUUGUGGCAUGUGACAGUACUUCUCUUUUUAUGGCUGAAGAAUAUUCCAUUGCACAUGUAUACUACAAUUUGUUUAUCCAUUCAUCCAGAUGAUGGACAUUUGUGUCAUUUCCACCUUUGGGCUAUGGUGAAUAGGGCUGCUAUGAGAACAAUAAAUGCCUUUGCCCCAAAA